UUUGAUGCAAGCUUCCCAUGAACUGUAAACCACUGAAACCCUUCCUUCGAACUGCAUAUCAUUUGCCCUAGCAGUGCAAAUGAGUAAUAAGUCGAAGCAACAAGCAAUGAAGCACUCUAGGAGCAAGCAAUGAAGCACAUGAGCAAUGAAGCAUAAGAGCAUUAUUAAGCAUGCAUGAUUAUACCGCAUAGCAAGUUCAACCCAUCACUACGUUGGUGUCAUCCUACGACCACAUCCAAAAUAGGGUGUAAUCCUACCACCACAAGUUCGUGAUCACCAUGCGGAUCAUCAUGAGGGGUUAGUAUAUACCACCCCACCAAAAUAUA
rnacentral:lncRNA from 1 species